rnacentral:lncRNA from 1 species
CGCGCAUGCGCGUCAGCUUUCACCCUGCAGCAACACUUCUAAGCGAAAUAUUGAUAUGGUGCUAAUUAAUGGACACUUUCAUAGAUCUCUGCCAAUCAUUCGGUGUGCCCCUCUGGGUGGGGCCGUUGCUCCACGCGGCCUCCAGGCUGAAGACGACAGACCGGAUAAAACGAAGAAAAGUUUACCGUUUAAUCCAGCGUCAGUUAGUAAGAGUCACUUUGUAUUUUAUUAUCAUUUUUUCUUUAUUUUGGCUGAUCUUAACGCAAAUGUUGACAGCUGAACAGGAUCGGCUGUAGCACACGUUACAAACCCACUUACGUGUACCCAGCUGAGCUCAAAGAGAUGGUCCGAGCAGCCUUUCCAAACGACAUCUGUGACUAUGACGACCCCUGUCACGAAAAUGUGAGAUAUAU